UACGUAGGGGGCGAGCGUUGUCCGGAUUUAUUGGGCGUAAAGAGCUCGUAGGCGGUUUGGUAAGUCGGGUGUGAAAUCUCCACGCUCAACGUGGAGGGGCCACUCGAUACUGCCAUGACUCGAGUCCGGUAGAGGAGCGUGGAAUUCCUGGUGUAGCGGUGAAAUGCGCAGAUAUCAGGAGGAACACCAGCGGCGAAGGCGGCGCUCUGGGCUGGAACUGACGCUGAGGAGCGAAAGCGUGGGGAGCGAACAGG
rnacentral:rRNA from 1 species